rnacentral:rRNA from 1 species
AUACGUAGGUGGCAAGCGUUGUCCGGAAUUAUUGGGCGUAAAGCGCGCGCAGGCGGUCCUUUAAGUCUGAUGUGAAAGCCCACGGCUCAACCGUGGAGGGUCAUUGGAAACUGGGGGACUUGAGUGCAGAAGAGGAAAGUGGAAUUCCAAGUGUAGCGGUGAAAUGCGUAGAGAUUUGGAGGAACACCAGUGGCGAAGGCGAUUUUCUGGUCUGUAACUGACGCUGAGGCGCGAAAGCGUGGGGAGCAAACAGGAUUAGAUACCCUGGUAGUCCACGCCGUAAACGAUGAGUGCUAAGUGUUAGGGGGUUUCCGCCCCUUAGUGCUGCAGCUAACGCAUUAAGCACUCCGCCUGGGGAGUACGGUCGCAAGACUGAAACUUAAAUGAAUUGGCGGGG